rnacentral:rRNA from 1 species
UGGGCAACCUGCCCCUCUCUCUGGGAUAACCCCGGGAAACCGGAGCUAAUACCGGAUACUCCGGCUGGAUCGCAUGGUCCGGCCGGGAAAGGUCCGCCGGAGAGGGAUGGGCCCGCGGCCUAUCAGCUUGUUGGUGGGGUCAUGGCUCACCAAGGCGACGACGGGUAGCUGGUCUGAGAGGACGACCAGCCACAUUGGGACUGAGACACGGCCCAGACUCCUACGGGAGGCA